UUGGAAAUCCAGCCCAGGGAUCCUUCAGCUGACUCCAGCGCCAGUCACCACCUAACUACGACCACGUGAGAAACCCCAAGGGGAACCACUCAGCUGAUGUGUCAACCCACACAACUAUGAGAGAGAAUAGGAGCGCUCAACACGAGCCGGGCACGGUGAAACGUAAAAUGUAGUGGAAAAGAAAAGCAAACUACAAGCAAUUUCUGAUUCUGAUAAACGAUAGGAAGGAAACAGUGUGCAAUAAUAAGGAACAAUAAGGAUAUCAACUUUUUUUAUUGAGGUGGUGUCUCUACCGGGUGAACAGACAGGUCCCAACAGCAGGCUGCUGACUGGUGGCUCCCUCCUGGGGACUACUCUCCCUGGCCUCUGGAGAAGAGAUGGACGCAGGAGGGACAUGCAUCUGGGGAACCAGGAAAUGUCAGAGGUUACUUCCUGAGGAAGGAAGAGGCCCUUGAAGAACUGGAAUGAGGCCAUGUGGCUGACACAAGUGAGGAAACUGAGGCUCGAGUGGUCAGCUAGUCCCGGUUACAUGCCUCUUAAGUGGCUGAGCUGGAGUUUGAACCUGGGGUGGUCCAUGUCGCAGAGCCCACACAGUGCAGUGACAAUAUCCUCCCUCCCAGAGGUGCAGAGUGGCCGGAGCCUCUCUGGCUGAGGUACGAGCGGCUUUCAGGAUGCCAGGGGCUGGCUCUAACAAGGGCUCAUCUCCCCGGGGAGGCUGGCCAAGGAGGAUAAAGUCCCAACACUCAGCAUGCUGACCCCAGGCGCCUCACAGCAGAAGGCAGCUCCCAAUAAGGGAAGUCACAGCUGGGAGCGAAGCAGAACAAGGCUGGCGACUCAGCUGUCUGUCUGAGGCGGCAGCUUUCAGAGCCAGGAAGCUUGGAAAAAUGAGGUGACAAAAGCAGCUGGCCAGCAAUUAGGGGCUGUUAACAGGAUAACAUUUGCCAAGCAAGAAGAAAAAUUUGUUCCUAAACCUAAUUUCCAGUGAAUUUUUUUUCUAUCCUCUUUUGAUAGACGAGCAGCCUCUGAAGUAGAGAUUAUAUAAAAAUCCAUUUGCAGUGACAUCUACCUAAACAUUAUAGACUCUUCUGGGGGUUCAUGCCCAUUAGUGGGUGAUAAGGCUUAAGCUACAACAUACCCAAAUCCACAUACCGGACUGGAAGGACUUCCUGAGAAAACCAAGCAGUGUACAUGUGCCCGCUGAGGCUGCUUAUUUCAGGUGGUAUUUAAUGCCACAAAAGUAGGCAGGAAGGGUCUAGAAGCUCCCUGGGAACCCCUGCAGAGUAGGCUGGGCCUGUGCUUAUAAAUGAAACACAGGCUUGGGAGCCUGGUGACACCAGCUUGACUCUCACCUCUGCCAACGCUAGCUGUGUUUCCUUGGGCAAACCCAACUUCUUAUCAUUCGGCAGCACCCAUUCACGGUCAACACAUCUCUGUUCAGGGAGACUUCUAUACAAUCAGUGACUCUCAAAGUGAAGAGUGCCGACCACCCGCUUAACCCCGGGACACCUGUUAACACGCAGAUUCCACAGCUUUACCCCACUUCUACUGCGUCUCGUCCUCUGGGAACCAGGCCUCCAGAUCACGUCAGGCUCGCGCACUCAGCCUGUACCCUAUACCUGGGGCUGGUGUGGGGACACGGAGCAGCUGCAGAGGAACCUCCGAGACUAUGCUGCUAUGGCUCUGCGGGCAGCUUUGCCUCAAACCUCAAAAUCAUGAUCCUCUUGGAGGUGGCACCCCCAGGGACAGCGGCUUCUGCUCCGGGCUGUGUGAGCGCUGGGGGACCUUGGUUACGGACUCGCACUGGGUGAGUAAAGUGCUCUGUAACAUACAAGCCACCUCUUCCUGGCUUUUGUCCCUCGUAUCUCAUUAGACAAGCCAGCUUCAGGAAAGGGACGCGUUCUUCCGGGUGGGGGCCGCGUGGCCGCCACCCAGCAGCGGAGCCGUGACUCAGCUCGGCGGGCUCGUGCCCAGGCCAGGGCUGCGCGGGACCGGAACAGAGGGCCGCCCGGCCGCGCCGCACCUGCCCGGCGCCUCAGCCCGCCCCUCCCCUCCCCUCCCCGCCCCGCCCCUCCCGGAGGCGGCCCCGGCGGGCGGCGUGGCCGGGCAGGCUGUGGGCUUGCCGCCGCCCGCGCCCUGAGUCACCGCUCCCAGCCCCGCCGAGCCGAGCCGCCGCCCGGCCCCGCGCCUCUGCGCCUGCGCGCGCUCACGCGGCCUCCCGACCCCGCGCUGGGCUCUCCGCGCGGGCCACGGCCGGGACCUCCCCUGACGCGGCCUUCCCGGCGUCCGGACAGACGGGGUUCAGCAAAAGGAGUCCCCUGCCCCGCGUCCCUCCACAGCCAGAGUCUG
rnacentral:lncRNA from 1 species